CAGCACGGUAUAGCAAUAUAUGGGUGGCGACCGGCAAACGGGUGCGGAACACGUACACAACCUUCCGGUGAGCGGGGGAUAGCCCAGAGAAAUUUGGAUUAAUACCCCAUACUAUAAUGGUCAGGCAUCUGAUUAUUAUCAAAGGCUUCGGCCGCUUAUUGAUGGGUGUGCGUCUGAUUAGGUAGUUGGCGGGGUAGAGGCCCACCAAGCCUACGAUCAGUAGCUGAUGUGAGAGCAUGAUCAGCCACACGGGCACUGAGACACGGGCCCGACUCCUACGGGAGGCAGCAGUAAGGAAUAUUGGACAAUGGACGCAAGUCUGAUCCAGCCAUGCCGCGUGAAGGAUGAAUGCCCUCUGGGUUGUAAACUUCUUUUACAGGGGAAGAAAGUUAUCUUUUUUAGGAUAUUUGACGGUACCCUAUGAAUAAGCACCGGCUAACUCCGUGCCAGCAGCCGCGGUAAUACGGAGGGUGCAAGCGUUAUCCGGAUUCACUGGGUUUAAAGGGUGCGUAGGCGGGUAUGUAAGUCAGUGGUGAAAUACCGGAGCUUAACUUCGGAACUGCCAUUGAUACUAUAUAUCUUGAAUAUUGUGGAGGUAAGCGGAAUAUGUCAUGUAGCGGUGAAAUGCUUAGAGAUGACAUAGAACACCGAUUGCGAAGGCAGCUUGCUACGCAAAUAUUGACGCUGAGGCACGAAAGCGUGGGGAUCAAACAGGAUUAGAUACCCUGGUAGUCCAC
rnacentral:rRNA from 1 species